rnacentral:rRNA from 1 species
UACGGAGGGGGCUAGCGUUGUUCGGAAUUACUGGGCGUAAAGCGCACGUAGGCGGCGAUCUAAGUCAGAGGUGAAAGCCCGGGGCUCAACCCCGGAACUGCCUUUGAGACUGGAUUGCUAGAAUCACGGAGAGGUGGGUGGAAUUCCGAGUGUAGAGGUGAAAUUCGUAGAUAUUCGGAAGAACACCAGUGGCGAAGGCGGCCCACUGGACGUGUAUUGACGCUGAGGUGACGAAAGCGUGGGGAGCAAACAGG